rnacentral:rRNA from 1 species
UACGUAGGGUGCAAGCGUUAAUCGGAAUUACGGGGCGUAAAGCGUGCGCAGGCGGUUUUGUAAGUCAGAUGUGAAAUCCCCGGGCUUAACCUGGGAACUGCGUUUGAAACUACAAGGCUAGAGUGUGGCAGAGGGGGGUGGAAUUCCACGUGUAGCAGUGAAAUGCGUAGAGAUGUGGAGGAACACCGAUGGCGAAGGCAGCCCCCUGGGUUAACACUGACGCUCAGGCACGAAAGCGUGGGGAGCAAACAGG